UGCCUACGGGACGCAGCAGUGGGGAAUAUUGCACAAUGGGGGAAACCCUGAUGCAGCAACGCCGCGUGAGUGAAGAAGUCAUUCGUGAUGUAAAGCUCUAUCAGCAGGGAAGAAAAUGACGGUACCUGAGUAAGAAGCCCCGGCUAACUACGUGCCAGCAGCCGCGGUAAUACGUAGGGGGCAAGCGUUAUCCGGAUUUACUGGGUGUAAAGGGAGCGUAGACGGCCAGACAAGUCUGAAGUGA
rnacentral:rRNA from 1 species